rnacentral:rRNA from 1 species
AUUGAACGCUGGCGGCAGGCUUAACACAUGCAAGUCGAGCGGGGGAAGGUAGCUUGCCACUGGACCUAGCGCCGGACGGGUGAGUAAUGCUUAGGAAUCUGCCUAUUAGUGGGGGACAACAUCUCGAAAGGGAUGCUAAUACCGCAUACGUCCUACGGGAGAAAGCAGGGGAUCUUCGGACCUUGCGCUAAUAGAUGAGCCUAAGUCGGGUUAGCUAGUUGGUGGGGUAAAGGCCUACCAAGGCGACGAUCUGUAGCGGGUCUGAGAGGAUGAGCGGCCAAACUGGGACUGCGACACGGCCCCGACUCCUGCGGGAGGCAGCAGUGGGGAAUAUUGGACAAUGGGGGGAACCCUGAUCCAGCCAUGCCGCGUGUGUGAAGAAGGCCUUAUGGUUGUAAAGCACUUUAAGCGAGGAGGAGGCUACUUUAGUUAAUACCUAGAGAUAGUGGACGUUACUCGCAGAAUAAGCACCGGCUAACUCUGUGCCAGCAGCCGCCGUAA